UGAUUCCUUCCGCAGUGUACACUUAUCGAAGCCUUUGCAGCCACGCAAGUGGUAGGUCCAGACGACUGUAAACAAGUUGGCACCGCAUGCAAGUCGCGCCCCUCCGGGUGUCGGCGACACUUUUGAAUUGCGGGGAUACCCUAAAGCCGGUCGCACCAACCAAUGCGGGAAACUGCGUUGGGGCCCAUGAACACCUCAUGGGGGACGGUAACAGACGACCUGGAUAGUUCUGCCUCGGGCAGAGAGCAUGGGCAAUCCGCAGCGAAGCCCCUAAAUCCUCCGGGACACGGGGAACGUUCACAGACUAAGUGGAAGUGGGUGGGGUGCUGCACCCUGCUUAAGAUAUAGUCGGGCUCUCCGGGAGACGGGAGAGACAAGUACACUGCCGGGGGCUUCGUCGGAGAGCGAGGGGUCCUUAGGCCCGCUCCGUGGAAGCCUCGUUGGUGAACUGUAGCUGUUCCGUAGGUGAACCUGCGGAAGGAUCAUUACCGAGUGCGAGCCCUCGCGGCUCAACCUCCCACCCUUGUCUCUCUACACCUGUUGCUUUGGCGGGCCCACCGGGGCCACCUGGUCGCCGGGGGACGAACGUCCCCGGGCCCGCGCCCGCCGAAGCGCCCUGUGAACCCUGAUGAAGAUGGGCUGUCUGAGUACGAUGAAAAUUGUCAAAACUUUCAACAAUGGAUCUCUUGGUUCCGGCAUCGAUGAAGAACGCAGCGAAAUGCGAUAAGUAAUGUGAAUUGCAGAAUUCCGUGAAUCAUCGAAUCUUUGAACGCACAUUGCGCCCCCUGGCAUUCCGGGGGGCAUGCCUGUCCGAGCGUCAUUUCUGCCCUCAAGCACGGCUUGUGUGUUGGGUGUGGUCCCCCCGGGGACCUGCCCGAAAGGCAGCGGCGACGUCCGUCUGGUCCUCGAGCGUAUGGGGCUUUGUCACUCGCUCGGGAAGGACCUGCGGGGGU
rnacentral:misc_RNA from 1 species